rnacentral:rRNA from 1 species
ACGGAAGGCAGCAGUGGGGAAUAUUGCACAAUGGGCGAAAGCCUGAUGCAGCGACGCCGCGUGAGUGAAGAAGUAUCUCGGUAUGUAAAGCUCUAUCAGCAGGGAAGAAAAUGACGGUACCUGACUAAGAAGCCCCGGCUAACUACGUGCCAGCAGCCGCGGUAAUACGUAGGGGGCAAGCGUUAUCCGGAUUUACUGGGUGUAAAGGGAGCGUAGACGGUUUGGCAAGUCUGAAGUGAAAUGCGGGGGCUCAACUCCUGAACUGCUUUGGAAACUGUCGAACUAGAGUGCAGGAGAGGUAAGUGGAAUUCCUAGUGUAGCGGUGAAAUGCGUAGAUACAGGAGGAACACCAGUGGCGAAGGCGGCUUACUGGACUGUAACUGACGUUGAGGCUCGAAAGCGUGGGGAGCAAACAGGAUUAGAUACCCUGGUA